UACAGAGGUCUCAAGCGUUGUUCGGAUUCAUUGGGCGUAAAGGGUGUGUAGGUGGCGCUGUAAGUCAGGUGUGAAAUUUCGGAGCUCAACUCCGAAACUGCAUUUGAUACUGCGGUGCUUGAGGACUGGAGAGGAGACUGGAAUUUACGGUGUAGCAGUGAAAUGCGUAGAUAUCGUAAGGAAGACCAGUGGCGAAGGCGGGUCUCUGGACAGUUCCUGACACUGAGACACGAAGGCCAGGGGAGCAAACGGG
rnacentral:rRNA from 1 species